rnacentral:rRNA from 1 species
AACGCGAAGAACCUUACCAGGUCUUGACAUCCCCAUGAAACACCUAGAGAUAGGUGCCCUCUUCGGAGCAUGGGAGACAGGUGGUGCAUGGUUGUCGUCAGCUCGUGUCGUGAGAUGUUGGGUUAAGUCCCGCAACGAGCGCAACCCUUGAUCUUAGUUGCCAGCACUUCGGGUGGGCACUCUAAGAUGACUGCCGGUGACAAACCGGAGGAAGGUGGGGAUGACGUCAAAUCAUCAUGCCCCUUAUGACCUGGGCUACACACGUACUACAAUGGCCGGUACAACGGGAAGCGAAGCCGCGAGGCGGAGCGAAUCCUUAUAAGCCGGUCUCAGUUCGGAUUGCAGGCUGCAACUCGCCUGCAUGAAGUCGGAAUUGCUAGUAAUCGCGGAUCAGCAUGCCGCGGUGAAUACGUUCCCGGGCCUUGUA